CUGAAAAGUUGAAGACAAUCAAUCGGUUAGUACUUUUACUGAUAGAAAACAAAACAGAUGCAAUAUGAAAUGGUGCACAGAAGAAAGAUUUAUCUCAGAAGCCAAGCGUAACAAAUAUAUUUCAUAGAAGAAAUACACCACAAAGGAGUACCUCUUCUUACGUGUUAGCUUUCUCAUCACUGAUAGGUACGAAUUGCAGACUAAAUAAAAGUAAUCUCAAAUUCUAGGUAUGCUACAAUAAUUCAUAUUACUAUUAACUCAGAAGCCAAGCGUAACAAAUGUAUUUCAUUGAAGAAAUACACCACAAAGGAGUACUUCUUCUUACGUGUUAGCUUUCUCAUCACAGCUAAAAUUAGACAGAAAAAUAGACGAAAUCAUUAAAUUGAAACAAAUAGCUAAGGAUUUAGCUCAGAAGCCAAGCGUAACAAAUGUAUUUCAUUGAAGAAACACCCCACAAAGGAGUACCCCUUCUUACGUGUUAGCUUUCUCAUCACAGCUCAAAAGGACCAAAAACUAUUAUCAAACCUAUUGUUCCAUUUCAUUAGAAUUUUUUUAUGUUAGCU
rnacentral:sRNA from 1 species